GACGAACGCUGGCGGCGUGCUUAACACAUGCAAGUCGAACGGAAAGGCCCUGCUUUUGUGGGGUGCUCGAGUGGCGAACGGGUGAGUAACACGUGAGUAACCUGCCCUUGACUUUGGGAUAACUUCAGGAAACUGGGGCUAAUACCGGAUAGGAGCUCCUGCUGCAUGGUGGGGGUUGGAAAGUUUCGGCGGUUGGGGAUGGACUCGCGGCUUAUCAGCUUGUUGGUGGGGUAGUGGCUUACCAAGGCUUUGACGGGUAGCCGGCCUGAGAGGGUGACCGGCGACAUUGGGACUGAGAGACGGCCCAGACUCCUACGGGAGGCAGCAGUGGGGAAUAUUGCACAAUGGGCGGAAGCCUGAUGCAGCAAAGCCGCGUGCGGGAUGACGGCCUUCGGGUUGUAAACCGCUUUCGCCUGUGACGAAGCGUGAGUGACGGUAAUGGGUAAAGAAGCACCGGCUAACUACGUG
rnacentral:rRNA from 1 species